rnacentral:rRNA from 1 species
GGGCAUCUGAUUGCUUAUUGCACCACAUGUGUUUUUCUUUGAAACAAACUUGCUUUGGCGGUGGGCCCAGCCUGCCGCCAGAGGUCUAAACUUACAACCAAUUUUUUAUCAACUUGUCACACCAGAUUAUUACUAAUAGUCAAAACUUUCAACAACGGAUCUCUUGGUUCUCGCAUCGAUGAAGAACGCAGCGAAAUGCGAUACGUAAUAUGAAUUGCAGAUAUUCGUGAAUCAUCGAAUCUUUGAACGCACAUUGCGCCCUCUGGUAUUCCGGAGGGCAUGCCUGUUUGAGCGUCGUUUCUCCCUCAAACCGCUGGGUUUGGUGUUGAGCAAUACGACUUGGGUUUGCUUGAAAGACGGUAGUGGUAAGGCGGGAUCGCUUUGACAAUGGCUUAGGUCUAACCAAAAACAUUGCUUGCGGCGGUAACGUCCACCACGUAUAUCUUCAAACUUUGACCUCAAAUCAGGUAGGACUACCCGCUGAACUUAAGCAUAUCAAUAAGCGGAGGAA